UGGGUCUGUUCUUCCCAGAGGCGCAGUCGGAUUCUGCCCGGAGCAAGACACUGACGGGAGCCGGGGGCCUGGUGCUGGGGCUCGUCACCUUCGGAGUGGGCCUGUUCCUGCACAGGAGGAGCAGGAAAGUCCAACGAGGAUCUCCAUAAACAGGGUCCCUGACCUAACCUGAAAAACUGCAUGUGCCUCGGAACAAGUGUUUUUCUGUGUGUCUUAGUCCCAGAGGCUGGCUCUGGGACAGACCCCGGCUUCCCAAGAGGAUGUUGCUGCCAAGUAUUUGCUCUGAAGCCA